rnacentral:rRNA from 1 species
UACGUAGGGUGCAAGCGUUGUCCGGAAUUAUUGGGCGUAAAGAGCUCGUAGGCGGUUUGUCGCGUCUGCUGUGAAAACUCGGGGCUUAACCCCGGGCCUGCAGUGGGUACGGGCAGACUAGAGUGCGGUAGGGGAGACUGGAAUUCCUGGUGUAGCAGUGAAAUGCGUAGAUAUCAGGAGGAAUACCGAUGGCGAAGGCAGGUCUCUGGGCUGACACUGACGCUCAUGCACGAAAGCGUGGGGAGCAAACAGG